UUCAAAAAAGAAAUCCGUAUUACCCAGUUGGCGUCCCAGCGGUUCCCCGAAUGGCCUAGAGCCCCCAGCACCUGCCGAGGCCGCGCCAUGCACCUGGCUGGGCUCAAACUGGCCAACUCAGACCUGGCCUGGGCGCCCGAAGGCUGCAGGGGGGACGCUCCGGUCCGAGCCACCGCCUGGGCCCGAAAGAGCCGCUCCUGGGAAGCAAUGCCGGGCCAAUCUCAAAUCCCAAAUUCUGGAAAGCACUACUUCCCACGCAGUAAAGGGAAGCCCGGGCGCCUCAAAACCAAACCUUGGAAGACGCUGGAGGAGCAAAGCCUGCAAGUUUCCGUCCACAGCCUCGAAGCCAUGGGUUCUCCCCGGCCCUCUGAAGCCGCCACACCUGUGCCAGCCGGCCGCGUCCUCAGACCUUUCCCCGCGGAGUCUUCCCAGCACUUGGAGACGCAGCGCAGGGCCCCGAGGACGGCCUGGCCCGGAGAAAAGAUACCGAAGCUCCAACUUUCCCCAACCCCGCUCCCCUCCUCCUUCCACCCUCCCUUCCCGCCCCCAAAGCUCGGGGGUCCUAUCCCUCCUCCGGUCCGCGGAGUCUCCCGAACCCUGCGGGGACCCGGCGCUCGGCGGUGCCCUCCUGGGGCGCACGGGGCUGGGGCGGGAGCGAGGAGACCAGGUGGGGAGGGGACCCCAGAUCUCAGACGCCAGGGGAGACGGCGUUUCCCGCUGUUCAUUCAGGUUUGUGCCAAAAGGAGCCUCACAGAUGCAGUAUUGGGUUUGGUAGACUCAAAUCGUCUUGUUUUAAUGUAAAUGAAGUCCUUCGACCCAGGCACGAGCGCCCAUCGCGGAGGCCACGAUGCCCGUUUUAUUCCCUCUCCACGGCAAGGAAAAGCAGCGAAAUCUGAGGUCUUCAGAGGUUAACCCUAUCUAGGAGCAGAAUGUGACGCAUUGUAAACAAAUAAAUAUUGAAAACUCGAUGUUAA
rnacentral:lncRNA from 1 species